UAAUAAUAAUAAUAAUAAUAAAAUGUAGAAUAAAAACAAGCGCACAUGGGUUGAUAGUGUCAAUCCAUUAACCUGUCAAAAAGUAGAAUAAAAACAAGUGCACAUGGGUUGAAAAGUGAAAAAAAGAGAGAGAGAACAGCGUGUGUAAAUAAUAAUAGUAAUACCCAAACCACGAAGAGCUGUCUUCCAACACCUCCUAGGCCAACAUUAAUGUCAGAGACAAAACCAAGCCCACAACCUGCUACAAGCAAGAUAAUAUUACUAGUGGGUUGGACCAUCUGGAAUUGCUCACACCAACGUCAACAAGAUCAGCAGUUCUAGCGAAAAAAUAUUUGAAACCAAGAAGUAGUGUUGCUGCUGAUUCUGCUUCUGAUGUGCCACUAAAGGACGACGACAGCCUCAUGAGCUGCCCUGAACCAACAAAGCCCAGAGUACACAGCCAAAUUCUACAAAAUGGCACAGAGA